rnacentral:rRNA from 1 species
AUUGAACGCUGGCGGCAGGCCUAACACAUGCAAGUCGAGCGAGCGGCGGACGGGUGAGUAAUGUCCGGGAAACUGCCUGAUGGAGGGGGAUAACUACCGGAAACGGUAGCUAAUACCGCAUACCAUCAGAUGUGCCCAGAUGGGAUUAGCUCGUAGGUGGGGUAACGGUUCACCUAGGCGACGAUCCCUAGCUGGUCUGAGGGGAUGUCCAGCCACACGGGAACUUAGACACGGUCCAAACUCCUACGGGAGGCAGCAUUGGGGAAUCGUGCACAAUGGGAACAAGCCUGAUGCAACGAUGCCGCGGGUGUGAAGAAGGCCUUCGGGUUGUAAAGCACUUUCAGCGGGGAGGGGUUACCCGCAGAAGAAGCACCGGCUAACACGGUGCCAGCAGCCGCGGUAAUUC